rnacentral:rRNA from 1 species
UAUUAAAGGGCUGCGGUAAUUUGACCGUGCGAAGGUAGCAUAAUCAGUAGUCUUUUAAUUGGAGGCUGGUAUGAACGGUCGGAUGAGGGAUUAACUGUCUCUUUUUUUUUAUUUAAUUUAACUUUUAAGUGAAAAGGCUUAAAUUUUUUGAAGUGACGAUAAGACCCUAUAAAACUUUAUACUUUUUAUGUAAAUUGGGAAUUAAGUUUAAUCUUUUUUUUUCUUAUUUUGUAUUUUGUUGGGGAAACUGAGAUAUAGAAUUAAUUGUCUUUUGUAUAUAAUAAAAAUAAUUAGUUUUUGAUCCAUUUUUAUUGAUUAUAAGAUUAAGUUACUUUAGGGAUAACAGCGUGAUUUUCUUUGAGAGUUCUUAUCGACAAGAAUAGUUGCGACCUCGAUGUUGAAUUAAAAUUUCUAGGUGGUGUAGGUGCUUCUUUAGUA